GUCGAGCGGUAACAGGAAUUAGCUUGCUAAUUUGCUGACGAGCGGCGGACGGGUGAGUAACGCGUAGGAAUCCGCCUGGUAGUGGGGGACAACAUGUGGAAACGCAUGCUAAUACCGCAUACGCCCUACGGGGGAAAGGAGGGGAUCUUCGGACCUUUCGCUAUCAGAUGAGCCUGCGUGAGAUUAGCUAGUUGGUGGGGUAAAGGCUCACCAAGGCGACGAUCUCUAGCUGGUCUGAGAGGAUGAUCAGCCACACUGGGACUGAGACACGGCCCAGACUCCUACGGGAGGCAGCAGUGGGGAAUAUUGGACAAUGGGCGCAAGCCUGAUCCAGCCAUGCCGCGUGUGUGAAGAAGGCCUUCGGAUUGUAAAGCACUUUCAGAAGUGAGGAAGG
rnacentral:rRNA from 1 species